rnacentral:rRNA from 1 species
GACGAACGCUGGCGGCGUGCCUAAUACAUGCAAGUAGAACGCUGAAGGAGGAGCUUGCUCUUCUGGAUGAGUUGCGAACGGGUGAGUAACGCGUAGGUAACCUGCCUGGUAGCGGGGGAUAACUAUUGGAAACGAUAGCUAAUACCGCAUAACAGUAGAUGUUGCAUGACAUUUACUUAAAAGGUGCAAUUGCAUCACUACCAGAUGGACCUGCGUUGUAUUAGCUAGUUGGUGGGGUAACGGCUCACCAAGGCGACGAUACAUAGCCGACCUGAGAGGGUGAUCGGCCACACUGGGACUGAGACACGGCCCAGACUCCUACGGGAGGCAGCAGUAGGAAAUCUUCGGCAAUGGACGGAAGUCUGACCGAGCAACGCCGCGUGAGUGAAGAAGGUUUUCGGAUCGUAAAGCUCUGUUGUAAGAGAAGAACGAGUGUGAGAGUGGAAAGUUCACUCUGUGACGGUAUCUUACCAGAAAGGGACGGCUAACUACGUG